AUCUGUUGAUUAAGCAAGUAUCCUGGCAUCUCUGGGGAAGCUCGCAUGUCUCAGGAGCUCAUUAGUGCCAUGUUUGCUCCCAUGACCACUGUGCUUCUUCCUCUGAGCUUUUGCCCUCGUGAAAACAUGUGUGGUCAAGACAUGGUAAUCUGGCUGAAAGGGAGCAGAAGUGUUCCUAUAAAUUGUGCUGUUGUAGGUCACUGGCUGAGGCUUAGACCCACCCCAAAUCUUUGAACUGGGAUGUUUCUUGCCUUCCUCAAUAUCACCACGAAUCUUUAUCUCUUCAGUUCACCUGUGCUUCUUGGCCCAUAAAGGUUCUGAGGGCCAGCUACAAAUUUAUCAGUCUCAAUGGUGAAAUUUUAUACCAGUUAACUUAAGAACCUUAAAAAACAGCUAAAUCUAAGAUAUUCACCUAUCUUUCCUCUGCACAUCUGUACCAUAGUUCAUAUUUUCAUGCUGCAGAGAUCUAACAUAAGGUGAAAAGCAUCAGAUUUGAAAGUGCAAUUGUGCUUCACUGACCAGAGGGGGAAUGAGGAUGACUAGUUCAGCUGAUGACAUCUGUCCUAUGGACUAGUCUGAGAUAAUUCUCACUGUCAAUUACUUCUGAGUUUACAGAAAACUUGACCUCCCUUGAAUUUUAUUCUGGUAGUUUAGGGACUCAAAUUUCACUGAGGAAAGAUUCAGUACUUAGUUCUCUGCUGAAUAACAAAGGUUGUUUCAGCAAGGAUGCAAGGUCAGAGGCUGGAGCCUGAGAGCAGUGAUCUUCUGCAUUUCCAGAAAGCAUCUCUGCAAGAUCACUGUGACUCUACAGAGAGUAGAAAGUAACUGGGAAAAAAUGAGGCAGGCUGAUUUUACAUAAAAAUCCUGAAGCUCCAGCAAAGCUUAACCCAUCCUCAGGGGAAUGAUAGGUUGCAGAGCAGGCCCAUCACUAGUGUCUCAUAUAUGGAACACUGAGCACUGGAGGCGGUGGUGGAGAGCCACAAAUCAGCCUGAGCUGAGGGGAGUGCCAGCUAUAGAAACCAAAGGUUUGUGAGGUCUGGGAAAUGAGUCAGUAGCCAAAUUGGUAAAGUUUGUGUCAGUGAUGGGGGAGUGGAGGGAAGAACAAUGUGGAGGCACAGGGGCAAAGGGAGAUGUUAGGAGCCUCUGUGCCCAGGGUAAGAAAUUGCUCUUUAUGCAGAGCCAGAGGGAACAAAGGGAAAGAGAGGAGAAGUGAGGACAGAUACUGUAGAGGGCAAAAGACGUUCUGUGAAUCAGACAAAAACAAAGAAAGGAGCGCUGAAUUAGCACAAGCAAAUGGUGUUUUAACUAGCUGGAGAACUCACUGCUCCUUAUCUGGCUUGGCAAAACCAGGGCAAGGUGCAUAAACUCUGCAGGACCACAGGAUUUGGGGCACAAUUCUGCUUCCCUUUACAGGAAUUCCUCCUGAUGAUCCCCACAGCUGCAGCAGGGUGACAGGUACUUUACUCCAGCACAAAGCAAGAAGACUUUCGGCUUCUAUUUUACAAACACCUGAAAGAACUGCCAAGGAACGAAGACUAAGUAAUCCUAUUGUUGUCCUUUGCCGCCGGGCCCCUCCAGUCUGGAAAUGCCCUUUGCUGCACCCGAGUCAGAGUGGUGCUAAGCUUUUAAUAACCUGUUAACAUUCGGUUCCACCAACACAAACAGAGGCAGCCAGCACCACGGCAGAGCACCGCUCAUCAGCGAUGGCAAACAAACACAACUGUGUCACCUGGGUGGGAAACAACCUGCUCAUCACGCCUGGGCUACGAGACAGCCCUAAUGGCUACAGACAGCUCCGGCUGGUCCGCAGGGAUCAGCUGGCCAGACCCCUGCUGUUGAGCAAAUGCCAAUAAGGUGCUGCAGCAAUCCAGGAGAACAGAAAGAAGGAGAAACAAACCUAUUGACUCUAUGUGGAAGAAAUGUCAUUAUGCCUUGAAGUGAUGGAACUGUGAGAGUGGAACAAAAGGGAGAAGGAGUGCUGACUCCCCCUGCAUCUCCCAGGGUCACAAGUUUGGAUGUCACUCAGCCUCUAUGGAAAACAGCUUUUAGGUCACUCUGCUCAGCUUCUGCUCUACUCCAAUA